AGCUCCUUGAGCUUUCUGUUAUUUCCACAAGGGCCCCUCCAUCUAAGGACCCAUCAUGGCACACUGACUCUUACUAGGUCAGACCAUUUAUACUUAUUGCUAUCUUUCUUUAGUCUUCUUCAACCUCAAUAUCACAGAAGCGAUGCUGUAUCUUUCUCGGUGGCUGGAAUACCUGGAAGUAUGGAACUGACUUUUGGCCACAAGAUGGGGAGGAGAGACUGAAGAAGAGGGAGAGAAAGAAUCUUAAGCAGGCUCCACACUCAGUACCAAGUCCAAUGGAGGGCACAAUCCUAUGACCCUGAAAAUCAUGACCUGAGCUGAAAUCCGGUGUGGGAUGUUUAACCAACUGAGCCAUCCCAGCUCAAGGUCACAAGUGGAAAAUAGUAAUUCUUCUCUGAAAGCCUCAUACCCUAUGAAGUUAUCUCAAGAAAAGACAAGUCAAGAUUCUGAUGCUUUUGUGGUGGCUCACUCAACUUUCUUCAAUCUACCUGAUAAUCCUGAAAGAACCCAAUUCAUGUAUAAAGGCCUUUUCUGUUUAGAAGAACUUCAGUACUACACCUAGCCUAAUACAGAGUAGUUGACCUGGAGAAAAUAACUGAGAUCAAGGACUAAGAGAAAAUACUUAAUAAUAAGUCAUUUUUA